rnacentral:lncRNA from 1 species
ACCACCACCACCAUACGUGUACUCAUCACCUCCACCACCGGUAAAGUCACCGCCACCACCAUACGUGUACUCAUCACCUCCCCCACCCGUGAAGUCACCGCCACCACCGUAUGUGUACUCAUCACCUCCACCACCCGUGAAGUCACCGCCACCACCUUAUGUGUACUCAUCACCUCCACCACCUGUAAAGUCACCGCCACCACCAUAUGUGUACUCAUCACCUCCACCACCUGUGAAGUCACCACCACCACCAUACGUCUACUCAUCACCUCCACCACCCGUAAAAUCACCGCCACCACCAUAUGUCUACUCAUCACCUCCACCACCCGUAAAAUCUCCGCCACCACCAUACGUCUACUCAUCACCUCCACCACCCGUAAAGUCACCUCCACCACCGGCAUACAUCUACGCUUCCCCACCUCCUCCAACC